UACGAAGGGGGCGAGCGUUGUUCGGAUUUACUGGGCGUAAAGGGCGCGUAGGCGGCCUUGUCAGUCAGGCGUGAAAGCCCCGGGCUCAACCUGGGAACGGCGCUUGGGACGGCGAGGCUGGAGUUCGGGAGAGGAGAGUGGAAUUCCCAGUGUAGAGGUGAAAUUCGUAGAUAUUGGGAAGAACACCGGUGGCGAAGGCGGCUCACUGGCCCGUUACCGACGCUCAGGCGCGACAGCGUGGGGAGCAAACAGG
rnacentral:rRNA from 1 species